AGCGGACAAAGGGAAGAAUGAUAUUCAAUUUGUAAAGGUGAGCUAAGAAAUCCAAACCAGUUAUGAUAUUGCUUUCAAUUCCUUUACAAAUUUUCUCUUUCUCACGUUUUGAUGGGCAGGGUGUACGGUCUUUCAUUAAUGUAGAUGACAGACGACUCUGCAGAAAGUGCAUUGUCUGAAACAGACUUCAAUCUUGUGUCUAUGUCUGGUUCGGACGACAAUGUCAUGCAACAGAUGGAGGACAAUGUAGUGGCAUGGUUGGAACACUAUCGAAUCAUCGAACGCAUUGAGCGUGACUAUCUCUCAUCGAAUAAGGGCCAUCGGUAUCUAUUUUCUACGUCACGAAGCGGUCAUAUACAGAAUAUGCACAUUUACCUGCAGACAUGCUUUCAGGAGUUCAGAAUAUACCCACCCAUAUUUAGGCAUUUUAUUCAUACCCUUUGAAAUUAGUACGGCUUGACAAGCAAUGCAAACAUCGAUAUAUAUACAAACAAGUCGUGCUCAAUGGAUUUCUAAAAUUUUAUUUUUAACUACACCAAGCGGGGGCAACCCAAGACAGAUUCCCUUAGAAAGGGCAUCUAGGUCGAAAAAUAUUACAUCAUUAUUUACAAUCUUCAUAGUAAUAGAUGGCGGUGUCAAGCCCUCG
rnacentral:lncRNA from 1 species